rnacentral:rRNA from 1 species
UGGGGAAUUUUGGACAAUGGGCGAAANCCUGAUCCAGCAAUGCCGCGUGUGUGAAGAAGGCCUUCGGGUUGUAAAGCACUUUUGUCCGGAAAGAAAUCCUUGGCUCUAAUACAGUCGGGGGAUGACGGUACCGGAAGAAUAAGCACCGGCUAACUACGUGCCAGCAGCCGCGGUAAUACGUAGGGUGCAAGCGUUAAUCGGAAUUACUGGGCGUAAAGCGUGCGCAGGCGGUUUGCUAAGACCGAUGUGAAAUCCCCGGGCUCAACCUGGGAACUGCAUUGGUGACUGGCAGGCUAGAGUAUGGCAGAGGGGGGUAGAAUUCCACGUGUAGCAGUGAAAUGCGUAGAGAUGUGGAGGAAUACCGAUGGCGAAGGCAGCCCCCUGGGCCAAUACUGACGCUCAUGCACGAAAGCGUGGGGAGCAAACAGGAUUAGUACCCUGGUAGUCCACGCCCUAAACGAUGUCAACUAGUUGUUGGGGAUUCAUUCCUUAGUAACGUAGCUAACGCGUGAAGUUGACCGCCUGGGGAGUACGGUCGCAAGAUU